UCCUCAUCUCUCUUUUUCUCCUCCUUUUCCUCUUUUUUUUUCUUCACAGGAGGCCCAAAACAUGGAGGUGCCUGGAGCCUGUUGUGAACUUGAACAGACUCCAUCUCUAUUUGUAGUAUAAUGCACGAAUGCACUUGAGUGAUUCUUUCCACAUCCAGUAUUUGGCAAAAGAAAAAUAAUGAAUGGCCACGUGACUCGUUAGAACAAUGGAACAAUGCAGGUGGAGGCUGCCUCACCUCCAGGUGGAAACUGUUAAGGGUGGAUUUGCCAAUCCCGCACAAGUCUCUCUCUGCCUCUGCAAUAGGCAGUGCUUCAGAUCGUGACUUGAGUUCUGGUGUGAGGAUGCCCCGGAGCGGAGUCCACAGCCUACCCCGCGGACGUGAAGUGUGAGCAAAAAAAAUGAGGAAACAACCAGAGUUCAAUGAUUUGCACAAAGCUUAAGCCGGGCCUCAAAGUCAAAUGUAACAACUCCUCAACGUUCUUCCCAGGAUGAUCAGGAACUCUGCUGAGAACUGUAACGCAACUAUGAAAAAAGACAAGAUCCCUGCCCUCAUGGACCUCCUGGUCUAGAGGAGGAGCGCAGGCCUGUGGUAACUGAAGGGUGCUCUGGGGCUCACAGGAUGGGCGACCCCACGUCAGCAGGUGAGUUUUGGAUAGAGGGGUGGGGGCCGU